AGUUUGACUAAUCAAAACUAUAUUAAUAAAUUGGAACCUUUCUUAAUUAGAACCAUAAUUAGUCAAGGCUUUGACUUUAAGCAUGAUUGAAAAAUCAAGAUUAAAUGCAGGAGCAUACAAUACAUAUUGCUAACCUAAUUUGUGUGUCAGGGACACAGGAGUUGAGCUGGGAAAUUCAAGUGAGCAGAUAAAAAAUCUCUAUUGCACUUAGUUCAUGUGAAAAGCUAAUGCACCAAGUGCAAUUAAGGAAAUUCCGAGAAUCACAAUUAAACAGAAACAGAGCAGCAUCUAUUGCACUUUGAAUGUAAACGACCGCUAGGCAGGGCAAAGGAACAAGAAGAAGCAGGGGCCAAUGGAAUGUAAACAAAAACCGCAAUCAAACAGAUACAAUACACGCACACACAUGCGACUGCAUGAGCGUGGGUGGAGUGUAUAUGUUGAUGAACUCAUUGUGCGCAAAAAAAAUCUAGGAACAAACCAUUCAAAUUGGAUGUUGAUGCAUCUACAACGGGGGCAGCCACUACACCAUCAGCGUCCGCCUCACUUUUCGUGUGAGCUCCUUGCAAGAAUAACAA